rnacentral:rRNA from 1 species
CUUGGGUCAUUUAGAGGAAGUAAAAGUCGCAACAAGGUUUCCGUAGGUGAACCUGCGGAAGGAUCAUUAAAGAAUUGCCCCAUUUUUUGAAAUGGGUUCUAUUCCCAAACCGUGUAUACAUACCUUUGUUGCUUUGGCAAGCCGUCCUUCGGGCGCAGCUUCGGCUGAGAGCGCUUGCCAGAGGACCCCAACUCUUUUGUUUAGUGAUGUCUGAGUACUAUAUAAUAGUUAAAACUUUCAACAACGGAUCUCUUGGUUCUGGCAUCGAUGAAGAACGCAGCGAAAUGCGAUAAGUAAUGUGAAUUGCAGAAUUCAGUGAAUCAUCGAAUCUUUGAACGCACAUUGCGCCCCUUGGUAUUCCGAGGGGCAUGCCUGUUCGAGCGUCAUUAUGACCACUCAAGCCUAGCUUGGUAUUGGGGUUCGCGGUCUCGCGGCUCUUAAAAUCAGUGGCGGUGCCAUCUGGCUCUAAGCGUAGUAAUUCUCUCGCUAUAGGGCUCCGGUAGUCGCUUGCCAAAACCCCCCUAUUUCUCACGGUUGACCUCGGAUCAGGUAGGGAUACCCGCUGAACUUAAGCAUAUCAAUAAGCGGAGGA